rnacentral:rRNA from 1 species
GACGAACGCUGGCGGCGUGCCUAAUACAUGCAAGUCGAACGCAUUUUCUUUCACCGUAGCUUGCUACACCGAAAGAAAAUGAGUGGCGAACGGGUGAGUAACACGUGGGUAACCUGCCCAUCAGCGGGGGAUAACACUUGGAAACAGGUGCUAAUACCGCAUAAUUCCAUUUACCGCAUGGUAAAUGGAUGAAAGGCGCUUUUGCGUCACUGAUGGAUGGACCCGCGGUGCAUUAGCUAGUUGGUGGGGUAACGGCCUACCAAGGCUGCGAUGCAUAGCCGACCUGAGAGGGUGAUCGGCCACACUGGGACUGAGACACGGCCCAGACUCCUACGGGAGGCAGCAGUAGGGAAUCUUCGGCAAUGGACGCAAGUCUGACCGAGCAACGCCGCGUGAGUGGAGAAGGUUUUCGGAUCGUAAAACUCUGUUGUUAGAGAAGAACAAGGAUGAGAGUGGAAAGUUCAUCCCUUGACGGUAUCUAACCAGAAAGCCACGGCUAACUACGUG